rnacentral:rRNA from 1 species
CACCAGACUCCUACGGGAGGCAGCAGUGGGGGAUAUUGCACAAUGGGGGGAACCCUGAUGCAGCGACGCCGCGUGGGUGAAGAAGCGCCUCGGCGCGUAAAGCCCUGUCAGCAGGGAAGAAAAUGACGGUACCUGAAGAAGAAGCCCCGGCUAACUACGUGCCAGCAGCCGCGGUAAUACGUAGGGGGCAAGCGUUAUCCGGAUUUACUGGGUGUAAAGGGGGCGCAGACGGCGAUGCAAGCCAGGAGUGAAAGCCCGGGGCCCAACCCCGGGACUGCAUUUGGAACUGUGUGGCUGGAGUGUCGGAGAGGCAGGCGGAAUUCCUAGUGUAGCGGUGAAAUGCGUAGAUAUUAGGAGGAACACCAGUGGCGAAGGCGGCCUGCUGGACGAUGACUGACGUUGAGGCUCGAAAGCGUGGGGAGCAAACAGGAUUAGAUACCCGUGUA